rnacentral:lncRNA from 1 species
UCUUCAGUCGCCUCAUAUAAUGCAUCUAACUUGUACAUAUAUAGAGGUGUAUUGUUAGAGUUAAAAAUAGCAGUUACUCAAAAAGUUAUCCAAGUAAUAUUUUUGAUAACGGAUUUAGUGUAUAAAAUUCUGAAACUAUUUACCUUAGCCUCGAUUUCAAUCUCUCUUGCAUGACCAGAGAUCAUGCUUAGUUUCGCAGAUGAAUUCUUUGGUGUGUCGUCAUCUUCAUCGGCAUCCUACGACUUGGCGAAAAAAAUUCCAAGACGCUACCUGGAUAUAUAGAGGUGUAUUGUUAGAGUUAAAAAUAGCAGUUACUCAAAAAGUUAUCCAAGUAAUAUUUUUGAUAACGAAUUUAGUGUAUAAAUUCUGAAACUAUUUACCUUAGCCUCGCUUUCAAUCUCUCUUGCAUGACCAGAGAUCAUGCUUAGUUUCGCAGAUGAAUUCUUUGGUGUGUCGUCAUCUUCAUCGGCAUCCUCCGACUUGGCGAAAAAAAUUCCAAGACGCUACCUGGAUCAAUUAGGUAACUUCAUGCAGUUCAAGCCAGUCAGGUAUGCGAAUUCUCAAAGUGAAAAUCUUACUAGUUUUCC